rnacentral:rRNA from 1 species
CAGCCACCACGGUAAUACGUAGGUGGCAAGCGUUGUCCGGAAUUAUUGGGCGUAAAGGGCUCGCAGGCGGUUUCUUAAGUCUGAUGUGAAAGCCCCCGGCUCAACCGGGGAGGGUCAUUGGAAACUGGGAAACUUGAGUGCAGAAGAGGAGAGUGGAAUUCCACGUGUAGCGGUGAAAUGCGUAGAGAUGUGGAGGAACACCAGUGGCGAAGGCGACUCUCUGGUCUGUAACUGACGCUGAGGAGCGAAAGCGUGGGGAGCGAACAGGAUUAGAUACCCGCGUAGUCCCUGUCUCUUAUAC